GCCCAGGUGGCGGAACUGGUAGACGCAGACGACUUAAAAUCGUCAGGCUUCGGCCGUGCCGGUUCGAGUCCGGCCCUGGGCA
rnacentral:tRNA from 1 species